rnacentral:rRNA from 1 species
UACGAAGGGGGCUAGCGUUGCUCGGAAUCACUGGGCGUAAAGGGUGCGUAGGCGGGUCUUUAAGUCAGGGGUGAAAUCCUGGAGCUCAACUCCAGAACUGCCUUUGAUACUGAAGAUCUUGAGUUCGGGAGAGGUGAGUGGAACUGCGAGUGUAGAGGUGAAAUUCGUAGAUAUUCGCAAGAACACCAGUGGGGAAGGCGACUUACUGGACACAUAUUGACGCUGAGGUGCGAAAGCGUGGGGAGCA